UGUGCGCGGUGGGUGGGGCGGCCCGGAGCGGGUUCCCGAUUGGCUGGGGCGCCGCAGGGGCGAAGUCCCCUGCUCUCGCGCGGGGAUCUCGUCAUAGGUGAGCGCUCCGGUGUGGGGUGUUCGCGGUGCUCCAGGGCCGGAGACUGCUGGCCGGAGGGUACUUCCGGUUACUCUCGCUCUUUCCCCCUAGGACAGGCGGGCCCCGUGUGUGCGGAGCCCGGACCGCCUGCAAGGGAUGGUCUAGAGCCCCACAGAGUCAUGGCGAUGGUCAAAGGAACAUCAUAGGGGUCUUUCCAUCUGGGUUCUUCUUUGAAAUUGCUUGUCAUGGACCUUGUAUCCUGCUGGAACCUGUGUGUUGUAUGUCGUCUAGGAUGGUCUGGGCUGCAAAGGAAUCCAGGAUGGCAUGGCCAGCUGCUGCUGUUUGCCAUCCCAGAUGUCUGGCUGGCUGGGCAUCCUGGUUUCCAGUCAUUUGCUCCCAGGAGCAGACAGCAGUCCUCGUGAGAAAGGUUCCAGAGCCAACAACAACAGAGUGGCAGAGCUGAUGGAGAAUGGAUAUCAUCAAGCCCAACCCAAUGUCACGGCUCUGCAGACAGGGAAACAGCCCCAGGAAGUGGGGUGGCUGGUGGGGGCAACACAGAAAGAGGAAAUGGAAGAGGUGAGAUGAGCAACA